UAAACGUCAGGUAUGGUCAGAUGUGAAAACAAAUUACCUUUUGAACAAAUUAAGUCAUUUUUUACGAAGCUAAAAUGGAAAAUGUGAAAACAGAAGAGAUCGGUGAUCCGGACGACGAUUAUUCGGAUAUAGCAGGUGACGGCGACAGCGAACCCAUAAUCAACAUCGUGCUGCCUCCGAAUGCGGCCAGUGGCUCAGCUGCACCAAAUAAUGGAAACAUACCCUUGUUUAUUAAGAAAUUGCGGAAGAUGGUGGACGACGACAAUGCCGACGACGUUAUCAGCUGGAAUGCCAGCGGGGAUGGCUUUAUAAUUCACGACCAAUUGACUUUCGUAUCGAAAACAUUGCCCAAGUAUUUCAAGCAUAAUCACUUGUCCAGCUUCGUCAGGCAGCUGAACCUGUAUGAUUUUCAUAAAAUUCAGAACGUUGAUAAGGACGAGUUUCAGUUCAGUCAUCCGUUUUUCCUUAAAGAUGUGCCUCAACUGAUGCCUUUGAUUAAGAGGAAAGCCACUAACCGCCCAAGAGGCCCUACAAACAGCCACGUAGACGCAGUUCACAGUGAAAUUCGAGAAGUGAUGAAUAUAGUUAAAGACAUCAAAAACAAAAACGACUCGAUCACAACCGAAAUGACGAAAUUGAGACAGGAAAAUGCCGCUCUUUGGAGCGAAAUGAACUCUUUAAGAGUGAAAUAUUCAAAACAAACUAAAAUCAUAAAUAAGUUAAUACACUUUUUGAUAUCGUACAUGCAGAAACAUCACAAUUCGAGAAAAAGCGGCAGGACUGUCAGUGCGGUGAAUUCGAAUAAGUAUCUUAAAACGGGACCAAAAAUCAUGGAGCUGGAUUAUAAGUAUAAGAAUAAUCCUCAUGAGUUUUGGAACGAUUUCGAUAGUAGAAAUUCUCCGUAUGAUCAGAGCGAGCAGAAUUACACAGUGCUUGAACCAGCCGAAGAUAAUUUAGAAAUUGGAGAACAAUCUCAAGCCAACACGUCCAAUCCCCAAACCAUGUCAGUCUCAUCCACCAUCGAAGAACUUCUCUCCACCGGCAGUCCCUUCAGCCAAACAUCAGAAGCCUCCAUAGACCAAAACUUACCCGUCAUAGACCUGGCAGCGGCCAGUCCAUCCUCUAGCAACGAUCCAAAUUCGGCCCUUCAAAGAACCAACAGCAAGGACAACCUGGGCUACUACAUCGACAACAGCCAGGUGGAGCUCAGCUCCAUCAAAGAACUACUCAAGGGCAUGUCGCAAGAGGACAUGGCCAACUUUUACAAACUCCUGAACGAGAACUACAACAAGCCCCAGGACAAUGAGCUACCGGGUGAUUUGACCUUGGAGCCUGACGACGACAUAGCAGAGAAGGAGUUGAUGGCCUUGACGGAAAUGGCGGCACCAGUCGAUUUCCCCGAGGAAUUGGACGUGUCCUAUACGCCGGACGUGAAAAAGAACGAAAAUGAGAAUUUUUAUCACAAAUAUUAUUUUAAUUUCUGCAAUUGCCAUUUUCUACGACUACAUCGCCGAAUGCAAAAUUAUUACAUCUUCAGGAUCAAAUGCAGAUCACCACAGUAACAGAAACGCUGACCAUCCACGGUACCGAUAUAAGGAUCGUUCCAGAUAUUCCAGGAUAAAACCAGAAUCGUCGUAUAAUGAUUUUGGAGACGAUGAGGAUGACUUCGAUUUAACCAAAAGACAACAGCAACCCCCUUCCGACGAUUAUGGACAUAUGAGAUUUGGAAAAAGAGACGAACAAUUCGAUGAUUACGGCCACAUGAGAUU
rnacentral:misc_RNA from 1 species